UAACUCUCUCUGUAAAUGUGAUUGUGUUACGUGUUGGUGUGACUGGUCGGGGUUUCCGUCCCUGUGCAGCUCUGUUACCUGUAGGGAUGGCUGGUGUUUGUGGCAGAACAACUCUCCGGGUGCCAGGAACUUCGCUGUGUUGUGUGUUCCCUUCCCACUGCUAAAAGCUACAGCCGGCUGUUCAAGGAAACGAACCAGACCGCCUGGAUCCUUCCCUGCUAUCUGCCCCCUUCUCCCACCCGGGUGUCAGAAGGGAGGGUACGUGGGGCUGAGCUAACACGCCCGUGAGAAAGCCGCUUCUCCCGGAGCCGCUGCUGCGUGCCGCGCUCCUGUUCCCGGGCCUGGAGCGCAGGGGGGCAGGCGCGGAGCCGGCGAUUGGGCUGGGGCUGCUGAGUGGGUGGCGGCCACUCCCGGCUCUGCCGCCGCCUCAGGAAGCUGAACUCUGCUCCUCAGCCCGCUCCCGCCGCCCUCGCCUAGUGCCGCGCGGGGCUGCGGCGAGCCUUCAAGGUGGCGCGGCGGGGACCUGGGCUCCUAGCCGGCGCGGGGAGUGAGAGGCACAUGCCGCCCUCCGGGCGCCCCUUCUCCUGCCUUCCGGAGGGGCCGAGCAGGCGGCGGGGGGGCGGGGGCCGGAUCUCCGAGGAGCGGACCCGCUGAGCGGCCGGGAAGAUGCUUUCUUGUCCCCCCAGAGACAGUUGCUGCUUUACCCCCAGACCUGUCUGACUUUAGUGGAGAGAUCAUGACUGAAAUCCUCUUUUCAGCUGUUUUGAAUGGGACUGAAACCAACAUUCUGUCAAACACUGGCUGGACUCUGGGAAAUGCCACUACCAAAUGUUCCCUAACCAAAACCGGCUUCCAGUUUUAUUAUCUGCCCACUGUCUACAUUCUAGUCUUUAUCUCUGGAUUUCUGGGCAAUAGUGUGGCGAUCUGGAUGUUUGUCUUCCACAUGAGGCCUUGGAGUGGCAUCUCAGUUUACAUGUUCAAUCUGGCAUUAGCUGAUUUCUUGUAUGUCUUGACGCUCCCUGCCCUCAUCUUUUAUUACUUCAAUAAAACUGAUUGGAUCUUCGGGGAUAUCAUGUGCAAACUGCAAAGGUUCAUCUUCCAUGUGAACCUGUAUGGCAGCAUUUUGUUUCUGACUUGCAUCAGUGUGCACAGAUACACAGGGGUAGUGUAUCCUUUGAAAUCACUUGGGAGACUGAAGAAAAAGAAUGCUGUUUACAUCAGUACCCUUGUUUGGGUCAUUGUUGUAGUUGGGAUUUCUCCUAUAUUGUUCUACUCUGGAACUGGGCUAAGGAAAAAUAAAACCAUUACAUGUUAUGAUACUACAACUGAUGAUUAUCUGAGAAGUUACUUCAUUUACAGCAUAUGCACCACUGUGUUUAUAUUCUGCAUCCCAUUCAUAUUGAUUCUUGGUUGUUACGGACUAAUAGUGAAAGCUUUGAUUUACAAGGAUUUGGACAAUUCUCCUCUUAGGAGAAAAUCAAUUUACCUGGUUAUUAUUGUGUUGAUGGUCUUUGCCGUGUCUUAUCUUCCCUUUCAUGUGAUGAAGACAUUGAAUCUCAGAGCCAGGCUAGAUUUUCAGACUCCACAAAUGUGUGCCUUCAAUGACAAAGUAUAUGCCACUUACCAAGUGACAAGGGGGUUAGCUAGUCUCAACAGCUGUGUAGAUCCUAUUCUGUAUUUUUUGGCAGGUGAUACCUUUAGAAGUAGACUUUCAAGGGCAACCAGAAAAAUGUCUAGAAGAAGUGAGCUCAAUGUGCAAUCAAAAAGCGAGGAAGUGACUCUCAAUAUUUUAGCAGAAUAUAAAGUGAAUGGAGACACAAGUAUGUGAAUGCAAAAGAUUUGCAAGCAGUAGCAAAAAACAAAACAAAACUGUCCGUUUUUAAGACAGUAGGAUGCUUUAGUGCCAUGACUGUUUGGGGAAAAUCUACUGAACCGGCCGGCAGUAUUGUUCUUUUUGGAGCAGGGGUGUCUCAUUUUGUGAGUCUAAGGAGAACUUAAGCAAAGUCCGGUGACAUUCAGAAUUACCAACAACCAGUACCACCAUCCUAUUCUGAUGUGAGUCCCUGACAUGCACCAUUCUGAGAUGACAACUACCACUGAGUGCAGCUGGAACAUGGAGCUGGUCCACAGAAUCUCAUGUUAAGUCCCCACUUUUUUUUUUAACAUUACUGUAUUUGGCACACGUUCUGUACCUUGAAGUAGAUAGAGCUACUGCAAAAUCAUGGCACAGGAUAACAAGAGUGACUCUCAGUGCUCCAGCAUGACUACUUUGUACCUGCAACAUCACAGCAUGGUGUGUGUUGGGCAAUCACAUCCGAGGAGGAUCUGGCCAACUGUGGCAGGGCUGGAUGUCGUGGGACCAGAAAUAAAUUGUUUUCUUGCUCAAUGUGGCAUGGGCUCCUGGGGUAAUUUGCCAGAUAUAUUGGUAAAUACUACUGCCAUUUGGUACUUAAUCUUAUUAAAAUGAAUUUAAUACUAGUGAAAGGUAACCAGCCUGACAGGUCUUUAGACCAAAGGCCCCCCUCCAUCUAUUCACAGCAUAGGCAUCAGCAGAGAAAAUCCCCUAAACUGCCUCUCACCACAUCUCUCAUGCUGACCUAGCGGAACCACCUCUAGGUAUGUGAGGAGAAUACAGUUUUCAUUUCCAUUCAGACCUUUGCUGACACUGCUGAGAAUGCCAUUUAGUGACAAUGGUGAUAGUGGGUUUUGUAGUCCUGUUCACUAGGAACUGGACUCAGGCAAUCACCUCCUUACUCAAAGUCUGCCUAACAGUACUGACUUCACUCUUUAGUGUGCUGGACUGGACUUGAACCUUGAGCCAGCUAUUUUCUCUUGGCAUCUUUGCUGGUAGUCUUCUAAAUGUACAUUAUUUAGAGAUCCAUAAAAGCUCUUGAUAAACACUUUUAUUUAAAAAAAAAACCUUUAAAGAAAUGAAUAUUUGACCUAAACAGAGCUACAAUGAUCUAUACAGAAAUAAAUGACUGUUGAUGAUAUGUUUCAGAGUAACAGCCGUGUUAGUCUGUAUUCGCAAAAAGAAAAGGAGUACUUGUGGCACCUUAGAGACUAACCAAUUUAUUUGAGAAGUGAGCUGUAGCUCACGAAAGCUUAUGCUCAAAUAAAUUGGUUAGUCUCUAAGGUGCCACAAGUACUCCUUUCCUUUUUGUUCAUGGUAUAUUUGCAUUUUAUAGCUCCAUAGGGUCAAAUUUGCCUCAUUCAUGCCCAUGCGCUCCCAGGAGGGAUAAUGUCUAAUACAAAAUGAAGCAACUGUAAUCUAGUUACUGUAUGUGGGCUGAGGGCACUUUCGAAACUUCAGUAGCUUGAUAUCAUGGCUGUUUAAAUUUGUUGUUUUUAAACUAGCAGUUUUGAGUCCAGUUUAUGCAUUAGCAGCCUAAUGAAAAUUUAAUUUUAAAGACACUAAGUGCCAAAUUCUGCCACUGGAUGCACAUGAGUAACUCCCAUUGAAUUUAGGGACAGCUUCCCUUGUGCAUUUGAGGACAGAAUUUGGGAUUGAGCUAUUAUUUUAUAGAACUAUAUAAUAAGCAUUAAGGGUCACAUUAUACCAUCACAACAUUAAAACCCACAGUAGGGAUCUUCCUACAGCCAAGAUGCCACUGAAUCCUUCCCUCAUGAGGAAAAAUGGGGGAACAGUGGAGGCAGGGGACCCAGAACCUGUAUACCACAGCUCUGCCAAGGGCCAGGACUUCUCCCUUCUGGCAGCAUGGCUUCUUAAGGAGAUGUGGUGUUGCUACUGGUCAUUCCAGCUGAGCUUGUGCUAUUUCCCCCUCUUUGGAGAAGAUACAGUGCAGACCACAGGGUAGAGAAUUAACUCCUGCUCCUUUUGCCCACUGCAUCUCCACUGGAUUCUGAGAGGCGCAUGCUAUGUAAAAUGGCUGUUCCUUUUAUUCACCCACUGCCUACCCCUAAAAGUGAGUAAAGUUCCUCUGGGUCCCAGGCACAGAAGAAGGGGGAAAAUGUGCUAUCCUGGCUUGGCUUACUUCCACUGUUUCUGGGGCUUUUUUGCCCCAUAUUGCUUUAGUCUUUUAUUUGGUCUCCUGUGUUCCUCACAGCCAAAGGAAGCAGUCCUAACAUCUUGCCCAUUUUCCAGAAAUGUAAAUUAAUACACAUUAUUCCUAGUCCAAGCAUUAUAGUGUCCACUUUCUGCCUCAAGUAAAGUUUUGCUGGAUAGUGUAUAUGCUUCCCUCUGGGGUAAAUUCUGCCUGCAGUUCUCUCUAGACAUUUAUUUCACGCUCAUGAGCAUGGCUUCUGAGUACCUAUGUGGGCACAAUUCCCAGAAAUGUAUCUGGAAGUUCUAGCACUCAUAAUACCUAGCAUUCAUAUAAUAGCUUACAUGUUCAGUGUGGCGUUAUACAAACAUUAAGUCCCCUCUAAUGUAGGUAAGUAUCAUUAUUCCUAUUUUAUACACAGGCAAACUGACACAGGGAGGUGAAGCAAAUUGCCUGUACAGUUAAUCAGCAACAGAGCGAGGAUUAGAAUUUGGACGAUUCUGACUCCCAAACCAGUGUUCAUUCAGCUGAUCAUGCUGUUUCUUGUAUGUGUAACUAAUGGGAAUCUUGCAUGCAUAUUCGAGGGCAGAAUUUGACCCUCACAUGGAAGUUGUCUGAGAACCACUAAAAAAUCCUUAACUACAGUAUAGUAGCUUGACCUGCAGUUUUAUCACUCUUACAUUUGCUGUAUUAUUUUUAACUCCAGAGAUUUUUGUCAUCAUUGAGAAUUUGACCACUUAAUCUGUAUCUGUUACAAAAUGUUAUGUCUGGGGUGUAAAUUGUAUUGCAUCAUCAUUUCAAACUAAUAUGAAGGAAUAAAAUGUGAUUUACAUGCUUAAUGUUUUGUGAAUUUGUACUACAGUGUGUUUCAAGCAUAUAUGUGAAAAUGUUUAUUUUUCUAUAAUUCUGUGAGAUUAAUAUUGUUUAGUGUAUCCAAAACUUGUGAUUAGUAGUGCCAUUAAUUUGACUUGCCUAUGGAGACAGUGUUACUCAAUAUUUAAGCUUCUCAGGUUCUGUAGUUGAUUUAAAUCAAAAGUAACUAAAAAAAAACUAGUUAUGCAUAACUCAUGAAUAAAAUGAUUGUCUAUUUUCUAUAAAGCACUGUGUCAUUUGCAUGCAGUUUUUGUGUAAGGCAUGGUGAUAGAAACUGUAACUAUUUUUAGUGACAACAGAACUGCAAUGCAACCACCAGAGUUACUGGCAUUGUACCUAUCAAUGUCAGAGUGAAUAAAACCCAAUAAAAUUAUGAAACACUG